rnacentral:rRNA from 1 species
AUACGGAGGGUGCAAGCGUUAUCCGGAAUCAUUGGGUUUAAAGGGUCCGUAGGCGGAUUGGUGAGUCAGUGGUGAAAGUCUGCAGCUUAACUGUAGAAUUGCCAUUGAUACUGCUAGUCUUGAAUUACUGUGAAGUGAUUAGAAUGUGUAGUGUAGCGGUGAAAUGCAUAGAUAUUACACAGAAUACCAAUUGCGAAGGCAGAUCACUAACAGUAUAUUGACGCUGAGGGACGAAAGCGUGGGGAGCGAACAGGAUUAGAAACCCUAGUAGUCC